AUUGAACGCUGGCGGCAUGCUUUACACAUGCAAGUCGAACGGUAACAGGCCUUCGGGUGCUGACGAGUGGCGAACGGGUGAGUAAUGCAUCGGAACGUGCCCAGAGGUGGGGGAUAACGCAGCGAAAGCUGUGCUAAUACCGCAUGUGAUCUGAGGAUGAAAGCGGGGGACCAGGCAGCAAUGUUUGGCCUCGCGCCUUUGGAGCGGCCGAUGUCAGAUUAGGUAGUUGGUGGGGUAAAGGCCUACCAAGCCGACGAUCUGUAGCUGGUCUGAGAGGACGACCAGCCACACUGGGACUGAGACACGGCCCAGACUCCUACGGGAGGCAGCAGUGGGGAAUUUUGGACAAUGGGCGCAAGCCUGAUCCAGCAAUGCCGCGUGAGGGAAGAAGGCCUUCGGGUUGUAAACCGCUUUUGUACGGAAAGAAAAGGCUCUGGCUAAUACCUGGGGCUGAUGACGGUACCGUAAGAAUAAGCACCGGCUAACUACGUG
rnacentral:rRNA from 1 species